rnacentral:rRNA from 1 species
CAGGGCUUGACAUGUACUCGCACCACCGGGAGACCGGUGUUCCUUCGGGACGGGUGCACAGGUGCUGCAUGGCUGUCGUCGGCUCGUGUCGUGAGAUGUUGGGUUAAGUCCCGCAACGAGCGCAACCCUUAUUGCUAGUUGAAUAUGUCUAGCGAAACUGCCCGCAAGGGAGGAGGGCGGGGAUGAUGUCAAGUCAGCACGGCCCUUACAUCCUGGGCGACACACACGCUACAAUGGCUGGGACAGAGCGAGGCCAACCGGCGACGGGGAGCGGAUCGCAGCAAACCCGGUCUCAGUUCAGAUUGUAGGCUGCAACCCGCCUGCAUGAAGUUGGAGUUGCUAGUAACCGUGAGUCAGCACAUCACGGUGAAUACGUUCCC